GAUGAAUGCUGGCGGCGUGCCUAACACAUGCAAGUUGAGCGGCAGCGCGGGGUGCUUGCACCCUGUCGGCGAGCGGCGAACGGCUGAGUAACGCGUAGGAAUUUGCUCCAAAGUGAGGAAUAACUGCCCGAAAGGGUAGCUAAUGCCGCAUAUGGUCUUCGGAUUAAAGGAUUUAUCCGCUUUGGGAGAAGCCUGCGUUGGAUUAGGUUGUUGGUAGGGUAAUGGCCUACCAAGCCGACGAUCCAUAGCUGGCCUUAGAGGAUGAUCAGCCAGACUGGAACUGAGACACGGUCCAGACUCCUACGGGAGGCAGCAGUGAGGAAUCUGCCACAAUGGGCGAAAGCCUGAUGGAGCAACGCCGCGUGAAGGAUGAAGGCCUUCGGGUUGUAAACUUCUUUUAUGAGUGAAGAAUAUGACGGUAACUCAUGAAUAAGCACCGGCUAACUACGUG
rnacentral:rRNA from 1 species